rnacentral:rRNA from 1 species
CCUACGGGAGGCAGCAGUGAGGAAUAUUGGUCAAUGGUCGGGAGACUGAACCAGCCAAGCCGCGUGAGGGAUGAAGGUACAGAGUAUCGUAAACCUCUUUUGUCAGGGAACAAAGGCGGGGACGUGUCCCCGGCUGAGUGUACCUGACGAAAAAGCAUCGGCUAACUCCGUGCCAGCAGCCGCGGUAAUACGGAGGAUGCGAGCGUUAUCCGGAUUUAUUGGGUUUAAAGGGUGCGCAGGCGGUCUGUUAAGUCAGCGGUCAAAGCCCGGGGCACAACCCCGGCCCGCCGUUGAAACUGGCAGUCUCGAGUUGGAGAGAAGUAUGCGGAAUGCGCGGUGUAGCGGUGAAAUGCAUAGAUAUCGCGCAGAACUCCGAUUGCGAAGGCAGCAUGCCGGCUCCACACUGACGCUGAGGCACGAAAGCGUGGGUAUCGAACAGGAUUAGAUACCCCUGUAGUC